rnacentral:rRNA from 1 species
ACGUUGAUAGGGCGGGUGUGUAAGCGCAGCGAUGCGUUGAGCUAACCGGUACUAAUGAACCGUGAGGCUUAACCUUACAACGCCGAAG